GGUUGAGAAUAUAGCUCAAUUGGUAGAGUACUUGCCUCACAUGUACAAGACUCUGGGUUCAAUCCUCAGAACCA
rnacentral:tRNA from 1 species